rnacentral:rRNA from 1 species
AACGAACGCUGGCGGCAGGCUUAACACAUGCAAGUCGAACGCACCUUUCGGGGUGAGUGGCAGACGGGUGAGUAACGCGUGGGAACGUGCCCUUCAGUUCGGAAUAACCCAGGGAAACUUGGGCUAAUACCGGAUACGUGCGCGAGCAGAAAGAUUUAUCGCUGAAGGAUCGGCCCGCGUCUGAUUAGCUAGUUGGUAGGGUAAUGGCCUACCCAGGCGACGAUCAGUAGCUGGUCGGAGAGGAUGAUCAGCCACAUUGGGACUGAGACACGGCCCAAACUCCUACGGGAGGCAGCAGUGGGGAAGAUUGGACAAUGGGCGCAAGCCUGAUCCAGCCAUGCCGCGUGAGUGAUGAAGGCCUUAGGGUUGUAAAGCUCUUUCGUCCGGGACGAUAAUGACGGUACCGGAAGAAGAAGCCCCGGCUAACUUCGUGCCAGCAGCCGCGGUAAGAC